UAAUACAGAGGUGGCGAGCGUUGUUCGGAGUUAUUGGGCGUAAAGAGCACGUAGGUGGAUUUGUAAGUCAGAUGUGAAAGCCUUCUGUUCAACGGAAGAAUUGCAUCUGAAACUGCAAACCUUGAGUAUAGGAGGGGAGAGUGGAACUUCUGGUGGAGCGGUGAAAUGCGUAGAUAUCAGAAGGAACGCCGGCGGCGAAAGCGACUCUCUGGCCUAUAACUGACACUGAGGUGCGAAAGCUAGGGGAGCAAACGGGAUUAGAUACCCCGGUAGUCCUAGCCGUAAACGAUGGGCACUAAGUAGGGGAAACUACCGAUGUUUUCUCUGCCGUAGCAAACGCAUUAAGUGCCCCGCCUGGGGAGUACGGCCGCAAGGCUA
rnacentral:rRNA from 1 species